UUGAACAAAGAUCGUCCGUUUACCAAAAAAAUAAGGCCGGCUUAGCUCCUCCUAUGCAUUCUAUACGAGCUAUUUCACUAAAAAAUCAAGUAAAAAUUUGAUUUUAUUUAAAUUUUUAUUUAUAGUUUGGAAUAAUAAUUUUGAUUAUAUUUUAUUUUAUAGUUGUAAUAUCAUAUAAGGUAUACUGAUUUAUAAUAAAUAAUUACAAAAAUAAUUAU
rnacentral:lncRNA from 1 species